AUUGAACGCUGGCGGCGUGCCUAAUACAUGCAAGUCGAACGCAGUUGCGAACGGGUGAGUAACGCGUAGGUAACUGCCUCAUAGCGGGGGAUAACUCUUGGAAACGAUAGCUAAUACCGCAUACUGUGAGAUGGACCUGCGUUGUAUUAGGUAGGUGGUGAGGUAAAGGCUCCCCAAGGCGACGGUACAUAGCCGACCUGAGAGGGAGGUCGGCCACACUGGGACUGAGACACGGCCCAGACUCCUGCAGGAGGGAUCCGUAGGGAAUCUUCGGCAAUGGACGGAAGUCUGACCGAGCAACGCCGCGGUGGUGAAGAAGGGUUUCGGAUCGUAAAGCUCUUUUGUUCGAGAAGCGGUAACUGACCAGAAAGGGACGGCUAACUACGUGCCAGCAGCCGCGGUAAUAC
rnacentral:rRNA from 1 species